rnacentral:rRNA from 1 species
GAUGAACGCUGGCGGCGUGCCUAAUACAUGCAAGUCGAGCGAACGGACGAGAAGCUUGCUUUUCUGAUGUUAGCGGCGGACGGGUGAGUAACACGUGGAUAACCUACCUAUAAGACUGGGAUAACUUCGGGAGACCGGAGCUAAUACCGGAUAAUAUUUUGAACCGCAUGGUUCAAAAGUGAAAGACGGUCUUGCUGUCACUUAUAGAUGGAUCCGCGCUGCAUUAGCUAGUUGGUAAGGUAACGGCUUACCAAGGCAACGAUGCAUAGCAGACCUGAGAGGGUGAUCGGCCACACUGGAACUGAGACACGGUCCAGACUCCUACGGGAGGCAGCAGUAGGGAAUCUUCCGCAAUGGGCGAAAGCCUGACGGAGCAACGCCGCGUGAGUGAUGAAGGUCUUCGGAUCGUAAAACUCUGUUAUUAGGGAAGAACAUAUGUGUAAGUAACUGUGCACAUCUUGACGGUACCUAAUCAGAAAGCCACGGCUAACUACGUG